ensembl:lncRNA
GCAAUGGAUACAAGGCAAACUGUGUUUUCUGUUGCUCAUGGACUGGCUGAAGUAAGGCAGCAUCAGGAGACAAACAUGGAGGAAAUAUGAGAACAGAGAGAACCCAACCAGCAGGUCACAGUUUAUCAUCAUCUAAUCAUCUCCUGAAGUCCAUAUGGUCCCUCUCUAUCUCCCCACACAUCCACCAACCACUGGAACACAUCUCCAAAGUUCUGCCGGGCCAGCUCAGCUUCCCUUCAGAAGAAGUGCUGCCACCUGCCAGAUGAAGGAGCCUUUUGAGAGGCAGCUGGCAUCGUGAUUGGACUGUAUUUGGUCUGUUCCAAUCCAGCUUCAGCUCCAGAGACGGCAGGUGGGACGAGUCAACGGAGGCCAGGUGGACGAAGGCAUGAAGCUGAGUACAAUCCAGAAAACAACAGUGGAGGAGUGCAGCAGCCCAGAGCCAGAACAGAGUAACAUCACCAAAGAACUACAGACUCUUCACAACCUGCUCAAACUCUUGGUACAGGACCUCACCACACGGGUCAAGAAGGUUUCCAUCUCAUUUCUACUCUGAAGCUCAC